GGAGUCGGCCAGACAGUCGCGUCAUCCGCAGCCAUUUCGAUGGAUGCGGGUGCCGAGGAAAGUCCGGGCUCCACAGGGCACGGUGCCAGGUAACGCCUGGGCGGCGCGAGCCGACGGAAAGUGCAACAGAAAGAUACCGCCGAACGGCGUCGCAAGACGCGCGUGGCAAGGGUGAAAUGGUGCGGUAAGAGCGCACCGCGAGCCUGGCAACAGGCCGGCACGGCAAACCCCACCGGGAGCAAGACCAAAUAGGGACCCUAUGACGUGGCCCGCGUCGGGUCCGGGUAGGUUGCUCGAGCGUAACGGCGACGUUGCGCCUAGAGGAAUGACUGUCCAAGACAGAACCCGGCUUAUCGGCCGGCUCCGCCA
rnacentral:RNase_P_RNA from 1 species